GGCACUGUAGCUCAGUUGGUAGAGCACCUGCUUAACAUGCAUGUUGUCCUCGGUUCGAGCCCGGGCAGAGUCA
rnacentral:tRNA from 1 species